CCAGUGAUGAACAGACCAUGCCCCACACAGGUAUCAUAUUUUAAACUGGAGAUGCUUUUCAAAGAGCCUGCAGCACCAGUGCACAGCCUCCCCAUGCCGUGCUGUGCUCUGCCAUGAAGCUGGUGAAGCUGCCCCAGCAUGAACAGAGCUCGUCCCCUGCUCUUAGCCCCAGCCCCGGGCUAUGGUCCUCGUGAGCAAAAGCAGGAGGACAAUGCCCCAGAAUAUGUUUGGAAAGAAACCUUUCCCCAAAACACGCUUUGCUCUGUGUGCUUCACAGUGAUGGCUGUAAGAGCAGCUCUGGCUGCAUCACGUACUGACCUUUUGUCGAGCAGCUGACUUCAGAAAUCUUUAUGGUAAUAAUGAGUCAGUGUUUAUCAAAGAAAAACCUCCUGCUCUGAUAACAGUAACAUGUACGUAAUAAACAAUUUUAAUGUCUGCAUUCAUUUCUCUGACUUCUGUUUUUGUGUUUUAAGGUGUUUUUUGAAAUCAGGCAGCAAAAAAAGGCCAUGGUAGUGCAAAAACAGGUGCGACCGCUAUGCUCUGAAGCCAGCUCUGCAGCCCCUCAAGACCGUUCCUGCCCGCUGGGGUUCGGCACCAUCGCUCUUAUUCAAUGCAGGUUUGAGCAAGCCACGGCUGCCUUCAGCCAGGUGUGUACAUUGGGUGCCAUACACACAGGUCCUUGGUGCCCAGGACCAAGGCAAUGCACAUCGACCUGUCUGUGCAUACAUCACGCAUCAUUAGCAUCAGCAUCCUGCAUUAGUUAUUAGUUAUUAUUAGUUAUUAGACUGCAGGCUGGCUGUAGCAGGUGAUGCUUGCCCAGUCCCACACUGUGGCUUCCCCUAGGCCAACUCUGCCUGACCGCAGGGGUCUGGGGGUUUCUAGCUAGCAAAACUUUGAGUUGUUGAGCAUUCCCCAUUUGGGGGUGGGGUAUGCUGAGCUAUAAGAACACUUGCAGUUAAUUAUUCUUCAUUUAUGCCUGUUUUUGGAGUGAGCACAUUUUCUGCAUUAAUUUCUUGACGUGAACAUCAGGAGCUGUCAGACUGUGAGAAAGGCUGGGUUUAACACAUUUUGCUUUUUCUGGAAACAUUCCUGCUCGGAGCCUGCACAGCAGCUCUGCUUGACACCUCCUGGUUUGCCAUACGGCUCUAUCUUGCAGCCCGGAGUCAUCCUGCAGCCAGGAGGGACAGGUGCAGCUCAGACACUGAAUAAGUGCACAGGAGACACUUCUCUGUUUCCUUUAAUGCUGUAAAUUACUAUGUGAUGCAAGCCAAAAAUAACUCAUUCCCCUUAUAAACCAUACAAGCUUGGGGAGCAGAAUAGAGGAGCUAUCUGACCCUGCAGGGAAAAGGGGCUGACGAAGUCUCUAUAGGAAGGAGAGCAGAUCUGCAUCCCUGCACUGGCUGGUGCUGGGUGAGUGUCUGGAGGGGCAGUCAUGCCCUGCUCCAGUUCCAAGUCCCUGCCUUCUUCAGCCUCCACUGCUGGCUUCAGCGGGCAACUGGUCUUGGUGCUUCAUUUACCUACAGGACCUUUCUCUCCUUUUUGCAUUUCUGCCAGAAGCAUGGUGAGGGGGGAACUGCCACCUUCCCUGCCCCAAGUCUUGCCUCCACAGCCAGCUUGGCUGCCCAAGGAACUGUUCUAGGCAAUGUGGGCAAGAGAGUUGGGAUGGUUUUUGAUCUGGAUCUGCUCCCCUGGAUGGCUGCCUGCUUCUUCCGCCCCUAGAGGUGGUGCUAAUCCCACCAAACAGCCCGGGCAGAGCCUCAGCUGCUU
rnacentral:lncRNA from 1 species